AUGGCGAACCUACGGCACGCGUGUCACAGAUGGCACGCAGAGACCCCUCUGGUGGCACGUCUCUCUCUGCAGCUGACUGCUCCUUCAACUCAUCACACCAUGAUGGGGAAAGAUGUGACCAUUCCCUGCUCAUUUACAAUCGAUAACCCUCCUAUUGAUCAGAAAUUUCUAGGAAUAUUCUGGUACUUUCAGGGAGUGGAAAUAUUAAGUGUUCAGAAUGGGAUUGUGAGAUCAAGAGAUCCUCGCGUGUCGUAUACAGGCCGGGCAGAAAAUGGAAUUGCUGAUCUGUCUAUAUCAAACAUCACUAUAACGUAUGGAGGGAUAUAUACGUGCUCCAUACUGUACACCCCAAGGAAGGAAGAGAAAGAGAUCAGAUUAGAUGUACAAGCUCCGCCACAGAUCACCAUUACAGAAACAUUAGUUGUUAAAAACAGAGAGAGCGUCCUGCGCAGUGUCAUCUCUGGAUUCUACCCGGUGGACAUUGACAUCAAAUGGCUCCGAGAUAGAGAGAUAUUGGCCAAUGUUAUCAUGGAGAUACCUCAGAGAGACCCGGAUGGGACGUACAGUGUGAGGAGCUCAGUACCAAUAACACCCACUAAAAAGGACAGAAAGCGGACCUUCUCCUGUAGAGUCCAACACGAGUCUCUUACUGCCCCUCUCCAGGAGGACUUCCAGCUGGUGUAUGGAGAAAUCCCCACUGUUCAGAUAACUUCAGAAAAAUUUAAGUUGAAUGUGCAGCAGAUGUUGGUAUGCAAUGUUUUUGGGUUUUACCCAGAAUCCAUCACUGUGAACUGGUUCUUGAAUGACACCCUGCUGGAGAAUACCAAGACCCGAAGGAUUAGCAGCUCGGCUGUGGAAUCUGUCUACCACUUCAUCCCCACAGAGCAGAGCUGGGGCAUGUAUCUGAGUUGUGUGGUGGAUCAUGCAACCCUCACCACCCCACAGGUGGAGAGACUGCUGGUACAAGGCAUUGGCCUUCCAAAGGUAAGAGAAAUCACUCGCUCCCCAGGGGGUCUUUUCAGCUUAGAUGUGGAUCAUUUUUACCCAGAAGCUAUUACAGUAUCUUGGGAGGUGAUCCAGCCACCGUCGAGCACACAGCCCCGUCCCAUAGACUCUACUCCUGUAAUGCAUCAGAACCAGGAUGGAACCUUUAAUGUCACCAGCACCAGUGAAAGCCUCAGAGGGAUGAUCUGGGAGGAUGAGCCUUAUGCUGUGCGUGCUUCAGUGACCCACCAAAAACUGAAACGUCUGUCACAUAAAGAAUGGAAAAGCGAUGAUAAAGAUAACAGAGAUUUUCUAGCACAGCCGGAAGUGGAGAUGAUAAAAAUACCAAAAUGGUUUGUCAACCAACAGACACAACUUCAAUGCAGAAUCACACACUUCUACCCCGAUCAGCUGACUGUCAAUUGGUUUAAGAAAGAAAAUGGAAAGGAAGAUUUAAUUUAUAUAGUUGACAAUGAGAGAUACAAGAUUCCCAACCGCAAAUCUCAACUACAGCCGGAUAAAACAUUUACAUAUACAUCGCUUCUAGAGGUCACCCCAUCACUAGAGGAUAGGGGGUCAGAGAUCAUCUGCAGAGUGAGCCAUCCCAGUCUGGAGGAACCAAUAGAAAGGACAACUGGAGCAUUACAGGUGCUGGUAAAACCCAAAGCCCAGCAGCCCAUACAACUCCCUAUUAAUGACUCAGGAGACAUGGUGGCAUCUUUCAGCCUUUUCAGCUUUUACCCAGAAGAUAUAAAGGUCACUUGGACAUGUAGACCAACCCAGGAGAAGAAACCAUCACAGGAGACAAUCAGUGAGAAUCCAGAUGGCACAUUUACUGCCACCAGUCGGUGUACAAUUCCUGGAAAUCUCUUUGAGAACCCGAAGUUCAGAGUCAGAGUGACAUGGGACCAUCCAUCCAUGGAGAGUCCAGAAUACAGAGAGAUGUGUGUACAAGAUCCAGUCACACCAGACGACCACAGUGAGAUGUACAAUAUCCGGCUAUUUCUCAGGAAAUCUAAGAGUGACUUGGAUAGAAAAGAGGGGAGAAUCUGA